rnacentral:lncRNA from 1 species
CGUGUCCUUCCCCUUUCACUGUGGGAUACAAAUGGGCACAAGGUCCCGGGGACGAUAGAGCCACACCCAGAAGAAGCCUGACUUCCCAAAUGAUUUUGUAGAGGGGAACUGCCCUGCUGACUAGAACCAACGUGGACUAUUUCUCCAACAGGAGAAAAGAAAGAAAUUUAACCUGUCCUCACUAAUGCAGUGAAGAAAUGGGCAAUGAGAACACUCUGCCAAGUGAAGGUGGCUGACAUUUGGGGAGAAACCUGCUCACGUACCAGUAUUAGCUCCAGUUCACACUUGAGGAAACGGGUACGGAGAGGUUAAGUAACUCGCCUAGGUAACGCCGUUACAAGAGAAGCAGCACUCGAAACCUCAGAGCCCGCACUCCCAAGCUUUCUACUGGGCAGAGAAAUGAGAAGAAAAGCAGAACACUCUUGUGAUU